AAACCCGACCCCCUGCCGCUGCCUGACGCAGUUGCACCUUUGUUUUUGCGAAGUGCUACUAACAGCCAUGAAAAGAAUGGCGUCCAUUUACAUAAUGCUUUGUUUGCAUCUUGCUGGUUUCUUUCGGUUGAAACCCGCAGAAACCCAAUCUCCAGCUCUUUUGUCGUUUCUACCGUGGCAGUUUUGUAUUUGAAACAAUAUGUGCUUUUGUGGAGAUCUUAUUUAUUCAAAGGGUGCCGACUAGAAUUGGAGGUUCUCUGCGGCAUUUCCCGCGCGGCCUCCUCUCCGGUCUCGCUUUUCGGCCUUCUUCCCUCACGGCGGCUGCGCCGCGCCCCACUGUCGGGGCGGCCCCUGGUGACGCCCGCCAUCUUGGGAGGCCUUUUUUUGCCGAGUUCUCGCUAGGAAAUGUCGCUCGAGAUGCUGGCAUAGGAGUUGUGAUUUCUGCCCCUUCCCUUUCCUCCAUGGGCUAAGCCAAACCGAGGAUGUCAGGCGUGCAAACCAUACUUAAUCCCUCAGUGAAAGCGGUCUAACGUGGCGCCCCCCCCACCGGCCGCCAUGUUUUCUGAACACAAAAUGGCGACACGUGGCCUGGAUUCGUCGCUAAGGAGAAAUUGGGGGCGCCCUGAAAGCUCUAGAACGCGCCUCCUCCUGUUCACGGGGACUUCCCUGCGACGCGAGUCCUUAAGACUCCUCCUGUAGGCUGGUCCGAAGCGUGGCGGAAGAAGUUUAAUUCCCCCUCCUUUAAUUUGAAACGAGAAUGUGAAUAAUAGUAAAAUAGGAAGACACUUAAACCCAGAGAAAUGAGGUGAUCAAUUCAAGGUUCUACAUUGUCGGGGAUGGAAUCCAGACCUUCUGAUUUCCUUACUGAUCUGCACUAAUUUUCAAAUUCCACACCACCCAUUUUAUGGAUGAAGCCACUGAGAUACGGAACAACGGAUUGAAUAGUCAGCAUCCCACCCCUGGAACCUCACACAUGACUCUUCUCUGACUCAAAUGACCACAGCUGGGUUGCCCUAACCCUGUAGAAUGUAAGUCCUGUGCUGCCGGGACCAUCUUGCCACCUCAAGGAGAACACUGUCCAAGAAUGAAGGCAACAUAGAUGACGGCUGAGCUGUGAGAUGGAGAAAACUGGAGACCAGAUGGUGUCUUGAGUACCUGGACCUAACCACACAUUAAAUUGGUGUAAUCCUGGACAUUUCCUUUGCAUGGACCCAGACUUUCCCUUUUGUCCCCCUUAUAAAAGUUUGAUAUGAAUUUUUGUCACCUGUAGCCAGAAGUGUCUUAAUUAAUCCAUGUUAUAAAUUGUAUAUCAUUCUCUUAUAGAGUAUGGUUCAGCUUUUUUCAACAGAUCCUUUUAAAGUGCUGAAUUUGAAUCAUAAGUUCGUUAUAAAAAUGAAAUGAGACCUAUCCCAUUUGUUUACAAUAAAAAUAAAUUAAAAAAAAAUGAAAUGAGACCAUAUAUGU